AUGGCAGAUCUCGUCAUGCUAGAGACGCCUCCGACGGCAUGGUUUCUGUUCCUCUUCCCGCUCUUCCUCUUGUUUGUGCUUUAUUAUUGGUUCACUUGGAAGACAGGAAAAAGGCAACAGCGAGAAGGCAGACUCCCGCCAUCACCACGGGCGCUGCCCAUCAUCGGCCACCUGCACCUCCUCGGAUCGCUCCCACACGUCUCGCUCCGCAGCCUUGCCAGGAAGCAUGGCCCCGACGUGAUGCUCCUUCGUCUCGGCGAUGUGCCGACGCUCGUCGUGUCGUCACCGUGUGCCGCAGAGGCAGUGCUGCGCACGCAUGACCACGUCUUGGCGUCACGGCCGCACUCCGUGGUCACCGACAUCCUCAUGUAUGGCUCGUCCGACGUAGCCUUUGCGCCAUAUGGCCAAGGCUGGCGGCAGGCAAGGAAGCUCCUCACCAACCACAUGCUGAGCGUUAGGAAGGUCCAGUCUUUCCGCAGCACCGUCAUGUUGGGGGUGAGCAUGGUGAUGGCGAAGAUUAACGAGGCUGCCAGAGUCGGUGGUGUGGUGGAUAUGAGUGAGCUGCUCAAGACAUUCACAUAUGACAUGGCAUACCGCAUCGUGUCCGGUGAAUUCUUCCUAAAAGAAGGACGGAGCAAGUUGUUCCAAGACCUCACCAAUGAUACCUCACUGCUGCUAGGAGGGUUCAAGGUGGAGGAAUACUUCCCAACAUUGUCUAGGGUAGGACUGCUUAAAAGGACAGUUCGUGCAAAGGCUGAGAGACUAAGGUAUAGAUGGGCCGAUCUGCUGGACAAGGUGAUCGAUUAUCAUGAGAACAAGGACAAGUCAGUGUUAGAUAACCAGGGCGCUAAUUUCGUCGAUAUUCUCUUGUCUGUUCAGCUGGAGUAUAGUCUCACAAGAGAACAGACUAAAGCUCUCCUAACCAUAAGUAAAUAUAAUACCUUCCAAAUGAUUACAAAUAAAUAA
rnacentral:rRNA from 1 species